CCCAUCAUCAAUGGGUCAGUGGUGCAACGGGUGAAGGUAAAAUCCAUUGAAAUGUGUUCUCAGCAUCUGCCUGAGAAAAGUUUUGCCCUAAAUGUGAAUGGCUACAUGGUAACUACAGAGAAGGGAGAGACUGAAGCAUCGUUUGGCACUGAGAUACGGGCUGUAGAAGAUGUGCUGAGAGUUGGUAGUCCAUCCCGUCCACUCUGGUCUGUAGUGGACCAUGCUCCUGUUCUCUUGUUGCC